CCCUUUUCGAGCCGCGCCCGCUCCCGUCGGGCGCCGAGUCGAGGCCUCCGCGGGUUUCCGCGGGCUUAGCCUCUCCGUGUCUCAAUGUCUGAGGUCUGUGAGGUGAAACUCUUAGCCUCGCUUUGCCUAACUUCACGCUGAAGUAACCCAGGUUUUACUUUCAAACCUGCCACGUCUCGCUAAGUUUAUGUCUCUGAACUCUAAAGACAAGUUCCCUGAGAAUACUACACGAUGCCGGUUUCCACUGUUAGGAACGCGGUGACAGAGAGAGAGGAAGGGAGAGGAAGCCCAAAACCCAGGCAUGUGCCCUGACCUGGAAUUGAACCAGCAACCUUUUGAUGCACAGGAUGAAGCCCAACCAACUGAGCCACACCGGCCAGGACUGUACUGGGACAUCUAGUUCAAGGCAGUAAAAUUUCUUUUCUAUUGCCUUGUAAAAAAUAAUCAUUCCGGGAAUAUUUCCUGCUGCUGCUGAACUUCAUCACUUUUCAAAGUAAAAUUUCUGUAAAACGUAUACAAUUAGAAUUCCUUCACCAACGACUAUGUUAGCACUGUGAUUCCCAUUAAAGUAAAGCCAAGUUGGGUGUAUAAAUGAAGCCUCUUAACAACCCAUUCUCUUAAGCUAUAGAAUCUUAGUAUGUAGCUCUCAGGCUGUGUUACCUUUCUCUUCUUCAUCUGCCUUCUCUGCAUUAGCAUUGGUCUUGACAACAGCACCUUUAUCAGACACAAAGUGGUAUUCAAAAUCACAUCCCAAACCCAACAGCUGAGAUCAUUCAAAUUCUACUAGACACUAGAAAUGUAAAGGCCUGAGGAGCAAAAAAAACAAUGAGGAAACCAAGCCACAGAUAAAAACAUUUUAUGGUUGCUACAUAAACAAAGGUAUGAAACACUGUAGCUUAUAUUUUAAUCCUUUAGUCCUCUCGCCAGACUUCAAAAACUAAUGUUAAUUUCUCUCAUAGCAUCAAUAUUUAUGAAAUGUUGUAGAAUGAUUACAGAAGUCAUUGAUCAGAAAUCACCUUGAUGCUCUCAACACCUAUGCAAGUCGAAUUUCAUCCUUAUAUGAAUACAAUAAUGCUAUUAAGUCUAUGUAUAUGAAUUGUUGAUUAAUAGAAUUGCUGAUUAAUAGGAAUUUAUACUCAAACACUGCUGUAGUUUUGUGAAAAUACAGAUUGUAAGUGAAUUCUGUAAGGUAAAUGUUACAAUUUUUUCCUUAUAAUAAGUACAUCAACAAAAUUUUAAUGGAAAUCUUAGAUUUGGGGUACAUGAUUUCAGAAUAAUUAUAAUAGGUUAACUCUCAGAUUGCUCAUACUUUGUCUAGUCCAUCUCAAAUUGAGGAUUAUUUUUAAAAAUAACAAAUAAUCUUGGACAGUACAGUCUCAUGGUUAGUAAUAAAUUUAAUAAUGUAUAAGCCAAUUAGGCAUCGUCAUGCUUAUAUUAAACACAAUAUAAACAAAACAGUUCAGUUUAUUGAUUUCCAAAUCAAAUGACUGCCAGUAUCUGCCAGCCCCUGGUCUGGUUACAUAUAUAAUGUUUUUCCAGACAGUUAUGUCAAAACAGAAAUACUAGAAUAAAUCUCAUUUGUAACUAACUAGCUUUUAGUUACUCACCAUUGGCAUCUGGUUUGAUUUUCUCUUCCUUAAGAUGCAAGUUGCUCAACUAAAUGGAGAAUAUAGGGGAGGAUGGAAAGUGUCAGGAAAAUCAAGUAUAAGAUUUUAAAUCAACAGAGCCUCCCCAGUGUAGCUGGGGAAACAUGAGCCAUUCUCAAGACCUAUUCAUUAGAUUGUUCUGCUGGGCUCCUUUUGUAAUCCCUAAUUAUAAUCCCUAAAUUCCUAAUUCAAUCUCUAGAGAAAAUGAAUUUAUGAAUUUGCUUAAUUUUCUGAUUACAAAGACCUCUUAAUAGAAUAUCAGCUGAGUUGUCAUGUUCUCAUAUUCCAAACAAGAGGAAAUUUAAAGAGAUUUUGGAAAAUGCACCUGUAAUUAAGAA